CGGGUGAGUAAUAUAUCGGAACGUGCCCAGUAAUGGGGGAUAGCCCGGCGAAAGCCGGAUUAAUACCGCAUACGACCUACGGGUGAAAGCGGGGGAUCGCAAGACCUCGCGUUAUUGGAGCGGCCGAUAUCAGAUUAGGUAGUUGGUGGGGUAAAGGCCUACCAAGCCUGCGAUCUGUAGUUGGUCUGAGAGGACGACCAGCCACACUGGGACUGAGACACGGCCCAG
rnacentral:rRNA from 1 species